rnacentral:rRNA from 1 species
UACGGAGGGUGCAAGCGUUAUCCGGAUUCACUGGGUUUAAAGGGUGCGUAGGCGGGUAGGUAAGUCAGUGGUGAAAUCCUGGAGCUCAACUCCAGAACUGCCAUUGAUACUAUCUGUCUUGAAUAUUGUGGAGGUAAGCGGAAUAUGUCAUGUAGCGGUGAAAUGCUUAGAUAUGACAUAGAACACCCAUUGCGAAGGCAGCUUACUACGCAUAUAUUGACGCUGAGGCACGAAAGCGUGGGGAUCAAACAGG